GCUGGGCACAGUGGCCCAUGCCUGUAAUCCCAGCUAUUUGGGAGGCUGAGGAAGGAGGGUCUCAAGUUCAAGGUCAGACUUAGCAAUUUAGCAAGACCCUGUCUCAA
rnacentral:sRNA from 1 species